rnacentral:lncRNA from 1 species
GAAUGGAUUAUGAAUACAAGCUUAGGCUAAAAUUACACAAACUAGAAACAUUGGCAGCUACUAUAAGAGUUCCUCAAUAAAGAAAAUAACAAUGAAAUAGGAUUAAAAUGUGAAAGGAACUCUCCUAUCUAAAUACACCCAUCAAAUUACCUAUAAACUCAUACACUAAAAACUAAUCAAUUUGACAUUCCACUGAAUCACACAUAAAAGUGAUAUCAAAAUUGAAAUUGAUUUUGUAUAACUCCAUAGGAACCAUGAGAAAGAAACAACAAUUGGGUCAAGUUGGGGGAGGUGACGAUACAAGUGGACCCAAUUGGUCGGACAUUGUAACCACCACCACCACCACAACACAGCUUUGAAAACAAGAACCAGCCAGGAUUUUUGACAUGCCAAUGCUGAUUGAACCCACUAAUAAUACUAGCAACCAAGCAAGCUGCAGGAACCAGGAACUAUCAUCAUCACCAUCAAGAUGUACACGUGUGGUGAUCUGGUGCACCCUGAUUAGUUCAAGUAGGUCCCAACCCCCUAGGGAUCGGUCACAUAUUCUGAUUCAGGGAAUCAGAAAGAAAGCUGAUCCUUUGUUUGCUUGUUUGGACUGUCAGGUUUUGAAAAGAAUGCAGUGU